CCGUAACCAUCUUUCAGUGUCUACUAAUGACUUUGAUGUCGAAGCGCCCUCUGUUUAGCUCGCCUCUGGCCCGCCUAUAUCAGAUACACUGAUGUGAUUGAUGCAGCUCGGCUACAAGGGCAAAGUUAUCAUCACUGAAUGCCAGAGUGACUUGCUGAACAAAUUCAAAUUGUGCUCUUGCGAGAACUCUGGAUUUCCAAGGUAACAUUAUUCCCCAAAUAU